GAAACUCUGGUGGAGGACCGUAGCGAUUCUGGCGUGCAAAUCGAUCGCCAAACGUGGGUAUAGGGGCGAAAGACUAAUCGAACCGUCUAGUAGCUGGUUCCCUCCGAAGUUUCCCUCAGGAUAGCCCGCACUCAUUAACAUGAUCAGUUUUAUCCGGUAAAGCGAAUAAUUAGAGGUGCUGAGCUCGAAACGAGCUCAACCUAUUCUCAAACUUUAAAUGGGUGAGAUUUCCAACUCGCUUCAUACGCGUGUAUUGCUGUAGGUGGAGUUGGGCGUUGAAUGUGCGGGUGCCAAGUGGGCCAUUUUUGGUAAGCAGAACUGGCGCUGUGGGAUGAACCGAACGCCCGGUUAAGGUUCCUAACGCUGACGCCCAUGAGAUACCACAAAAGGUGUUGGUUAAUACAGACAGCAGGUCGGUAGACAUGGAAGUCGGCAUCCGCUGAGGAGUGUGUAACAACUCACCUGCCGAAUUGACUAGCCCUGAAAAUGGAUGGCUCUGGAGCGUCGGACCUACACCGGGCCGUCAUCGCAAGCUGAAUUGCUGGCUGUAACAGCCUCGUGCGUGCGUACGUGUUUGCGUCAUGGUCCAGGCGUGGAGUGCGAUGCCGAGUAGGAGGGUCGCCGUGGUGAGCGUGGUAGCCGCAGACGUGAGUCAGGGUAGGACCGCCACGGGUGCAGAUCUUGGUGGUAGUAGCAAAUAUUCAAGUGAGAAUCUUGAGGGCCGACGUGGAGAGAGGUUCCAUGGGAACAGCAGUUGGCCAUGGGUCAGGCGAUCCUGAGUAAUCCGGUGACCCGGUGCAGAGUCGUGGGGCGCCUUGCAUGAGUGCGUGCAUGCGUGCAUAGGUGUGGUGUGGUUUGUUGGCAGCCCCCUGGAGCGAAAGGGAAUCUGGUUAACACUCCCGACCCUGCUCACGGAGAUGCGUGGUGGUCGGUCGGUCGGUCGGUCGGUCGGUCGGUCGGUCGGUCGGUCGGUCGGUCGGUCGGUCGGUCGGUCGGUCGGUCUAUCAUUCGUUCGACACGGGCGGCGUCGUCAGACGCGGUGACACAAACGAACUCGGAGACGUCUGCAAGAGUUCCAGGGAGAGUUUUCUUUUCUUUGCAAGGGGGAAUUAUUGCCCCUGGAAUCAGGUUGUCCGGAGAUAAAGGUAUCGCCUCCGUAGAGCAUCACUUCACUUGUGGUGUCCGGAACGCUCAUGUGGGCCCUUGAAAAUCUGAAGUAGGCAGUGCUAUUUUCGUGGCAGGCCGUACCCAUAUCCGCAUCAAGUCUCCAAGGUGAAGAGCCUCUGGCACUAGAAUAAUGUAGGUAGGGGAAGUCGGCAUACUUGAUCCUUAACCUCUGGAAAAGGAUUGGCUCUGAAGGCUGAGUCAAACAGGCCGGGGAAAGAAAGGAACUCGCUCAGCUUACAGCUGGCUGGUAGGCUGGCUGUUGAACCGCCACCACCGCCGCCGCUGUUGCGGUGUGUGGGUGUGUGUGUGGGGCGUGCAGUUGUGCCAGUCCGCUUGCUUUGUGGCUGGAGGUGAGUAGGGUGAACCGUGGGCGGACCCAGCUACACCUACAUCUCGGUAGAUUGAUCAGUAGGUUGGUUGUCGAUGCUGAUGCUGCUGCUUCUUCGCUGCUUGUUGGCUGGUGGUGCAGUGCCCGGCGUUGCUACUCGCUGGCUGGCUGGCCAUGUCGCGUCGGGGCGUGCUUGUUUGAAGCCAAACAGCCAACCCAGAAGUGGCACGAACGUGAGGAAUCCGACUGUCUAAUUAAAACAAAGCAUUGUGAUAUCUGCUGACCGGUUUUGACGCAAUGUGAUUUCUGCCCAGUACUCGCAAUGUCAAAGUGAAGAAAUCCAACCAAGCGCGGAUAAACGGCGGGAGCAACUAUGACUCUCUUAAGGUAGCCAAAUGCCUCGUCAUCUAAUUAGUAAUGCGCAUGAAUGGAUUAACGAGAUUCCUACUGUCCCCAUCUACUAUCUAGCCGAACCACAGCCAAGGAAACGGGAUUGGCAGAAUCAGCGGGGAAAGAAGACCCUGUUGAGCUUGAUUCUAGUCCGACUUAGUGAAGAGACAUGGCGGGUGUAGCAAUAAGUGGGAGGCUCUGUGUCUGCUGCUGGGCACUACAACGAAAGACCACUCCCAUUAUUGUUUCUUUGUUUAUUCAGUGAAGCGGGAUAAGCAGCAAUGUGUAUAAAAAUAUUUGCAUUUGCAUUGAAACACAUGCCGGCGUGUGGACUCGCGCUCACGUGUCAGCAUCUUCGGUAGCAGCUGGCUGGCCAUUGCUGCUGCCGCUGCUGCUGUCCUUGGGCGAGCGGGGGGGAAGCGGGUAGGCGGACAGUGGUGUUAUCAGUCGGAGUGUGUGUGCGACAUGCGACCCGAUCUGGAGACAUUGUCAGGCGGGGAGUUUGACUGGGGCAAUGCAUCCGUCAAAUCGUAACGCAGGUGUCCCGAGGUUAGCUCAGCCAGGACAGAAACCUGGCAUGAAGCAGAGGGGCGAAAGCUCACUUGAUGCUGAUUUCCAGUAUGAAUACACACCGUGAAAGCGUGGCCUAUCGAUCCUUUUGAUGAUUUCACCACAUUCCGAGUUUGAAGCAAGAGGUGUCAGAAAAGUUACCACAGGGAUAACUGGCUUUUGGCGGCCAAGCGUUCAUAGCGACGUCGCUUUUUUAUCCUUCGAUGCCGGCUCUUCCUAUCAUUGUGAAGCAGAAUUCACCAAGCGUUGGAUUGUUCACCCACCAAUAGGGAACGUGAGCUGGGUUUAGACCGUCGUGAGGCAGGUUAGUUUUACCCUACUGAUGGGCACGAGCAAAGUGCAUGCUGGUCGUUGCUAUGGUAAUCCUGUUCAGUACGAGAGGAACCGCAGGUUCAGACAUUUGGUACAUGUGCCUGGUCGAUCGGCCGAUGGUGCGAGGCUAUCAUCUAAGGUAUUAAGACUGAACUCUCUAAGUCUGAAUCCCGUCUAAAGGUGCAACGAUACACUACGGCCUGCCACAUGGUGAGGCAGCUAUAGCAUCUUCCAUUCGCCAGUUUCCUUAGCACGCGGAUAGCGUGCUGCGACGACCGCGGAUGGUCUGGCUGGUAGUGCGAGGCCAGAGCGUGGACCACAUCCACGUGCAUCAGAUGCUCAUGGUGCUGCGU
rnacentral:rRNA from 1 species